rnacentral:rRNA from 1 species
AAGGAUCAGUAUCGAAUCGUUGACACGAGUUGUCGCUGGCCUUCGAAAGGGGGCACGUGCACGCUCUGUUACACAUCCACUCACCCCUGUGCACCUUUUGUAGUUUUGCGGUCGGGAGGCUCCGCUUCCCUUCUGCGGCUCUACGUCUUUACACACACACACGUGAAAGAAGUCUUGUGGAAUGUAUGCCGCGUUUAACGCAAUACAAUACAACUUUCAGCAACGGAUCUCUUGGCUCUCGCAUCGAUGAAGAACGCAGCGAAAUGCGAUAAGUAAUGUGAAUUGCAGAAUUCAGUGAAUCAUCGAAUCUUUGAACGCACCUUGCGCCCUUUGGCUAUUCCGAAGGGCAUGCCUGUUUGAGUAUCAUGAACACCUCAACUCUCACGUUCCUCGUGAUGAGCUUGGACUUGGGGGCUUUGUUGGCCUGUAGGUCAGCUCUCCUCAAAUGAAUCAGCUCGCCGGUGUCUGGCGGCGUCAUGGGUGUGAUAACCGUCUACUCUCGUGAUCGCUUGCAAAGUAAACCUCUGGUCUGCAGAGGUUCGCCGGAGCUUAUAGACGUCUCUCCUCAGUGAAGACAGCUGUCUGAAGUUCGAUCUCAAAUCAGGUAGGACUACCCGCUGAACUUAA